CCCUUAGAUGUUCUGGGCCGCACGCGCGCUACACUGACGAAUGCAACGAGCUUUUAACCUUGGCCGAAAGGUCUGGGUAAUCUCCAAAUUUCGUCGUGAUGGGGAUAGAUUAUUGCAAUUAUUAAUCUUCAACGAGGAAUGCCUAGUAAGCGCAAGUCAUCAGCUUGCGUUGAUUACGUCCCUGCCCUUUGUACACACCGCCCGUCGCUCCUACCGAUUGAAUGGUCCGGUGAAGCGUUCGGACCGUGGCCUUUGGACGGUUCGCCGUCUGUUGGCUGCGGGAAGUUCGUUAAACCUUAUCAUUUAGAGGAAGGAGAAGUCGUANCA
rnacentral:rRNA from 1 species